UGGUGCAGAUGGUGUAGAUAUGCUUGUUAACUACAGAAGAUUAAGACAGAAUUGUAGCGAAAGAUGCAUCAGUUACACGUAGCCGACCAGACACAGGAAGGAGUUGAGACCGUCAGGGUUCAGAGUUCCAGACCUGCACAGCAAGCAAACCUAGGAAGCAUGGUCAAGGCCGCCGAUGGAGUCGAACUCGACGUCGAUGUUAUCGGGGUUGUUGACGCCACACACAAUCACGUUAUCGGUGAGGGAGACACCAAGGAGGGCUGAGACCAAGUGAGGUGAACCCUAUCUGUGGGGAGGUGGGGGGAGGCAGAUGUGGAUAAGAGCAGGGGAGGUGAGGUGCAAACGGACCUCGUAGGGCAUGGUGGAGACGAGGGGCCG
rnacentral:lncRNA from 1 species